GAUGAACGCUGGCGGCGUGCUUAACACAUGCAAGUCGAGCGAGAAGUUUUGAAAAGAUUCUUCGGAUGAAAUUUAAAAUGGAAAGCGGCGGACGGGUGAGUAACGCGUAGGCAACCUGCCCCAUACAAAGGGAUAGCAUUUGGAAACGAAUAUUAAUACCUUAUGAAACUUAACUAGUGCAUGCUAGGUAGGUCAAAGAUUUAUCGGUAUGGGAUGGGCCUGCGUCUGAUUAGCUAGUUGGUGAGGUAACGGCUCACCAAGGCGACGAUCAGUAGCCGACCUGAGAGGGUGAACGGCCACAUUGGAACUGAGACACGGUCCAAACUCCUACGGGAGGCAGCAGUGGGGAAUAUUGCACAAUGGGGGAAACCCUGAUGCAGCAACGCCGCGUGAACGAUGAAGGCCUUUGGGUCGUAAAGCUCUGUUCUAGGUGAUGAAAACUGACAGUAACCUAGGAGAAAGCCCCGGCUAACUCCGUG
rnacentral:rRNA from 1 species